ensembl:misc_RNA 7SK 7SK RNA
AGAUGUGAGGGCAAAAUGGCUGCAACAUCUGUCAUCCCAUGGAUCUCUAGGGUUGAUCCAGCUGAUCUGGCUGGCAAGGUGUCAUCUUGCUCUCAUAGUGCUCCAUGUGUAUCCCCUCAAAGUUGUGCUCUAUCCAAGGGGGUGACCUUGCUUGGUAGAAGAGGACCCUUCGUUAUUAAGGGUAUAGCUGUGCUCCUCUGCUAGGACCUCCAAACAAGCUCGGAAAUGUUAAUUGGCUGCGAUGCCAUUUAGGCUAGUGGGCUAAUUUGGCACUAUUCCCUCCUGCAAAAAGUCGCCUGCUUAUUU